ensembl:snoRNA small nucleolar RNA SNORA48
ACCCCCUGGCAAUGGGCAAGGAGACACCUGAUUGGUGGUGAUGUUCUUAUAUCAGUCAGGGGCAAAGCAGAUGUACAGUCCUUAGUUCAUCCUAGCUUGAUGCCUGUGGCCAGAGCUGUUUCAUGCCUGAGGCACAUGA